rnacentral:rRNA from 1 species
GAUGAACGCUGGCGGCGUGCUUAACACAUGCAAGUCGAACGGAAAGGCUCCUGCUUGCAGGGGUACUCGAGUGGCGAACGGGUGAGUAACACGUGGGUGAUCUGCCCUGCACUUCGGGAUAAGCCUGGGAAACUGGGUCUAAUACCGGAUAGGACGAUGGUUUGGAUGCCAUUGUGGAAAGUUUUUUCGGUGUGGGAUGAGCUCGCCGCCUAUCAGCUUGUUGGUGGGGUAAUGGCCUACCAAGGCGUCGACGGGUAGCCGGCCUGAGAGGGUGUACGGCCACAUUGGGACUGAGAUACGGCCCAGACUCCUACGGGAGGCAGCAGUGGGGAAUAUUGCACAAUGGGCGCAAGCCUGAUGCAGCGACGCCGCGUGGGGGAUGACGGCCUUCGGGUUGUAAACUCCUUUCGCUAGGGACGAAGCGCAAGUGACGGUACCUGGAGAAGAAGCACCGGCUAACUACGUG